rnacentral:rRNA from 1 species
GGAAUCUUGGACAAUGGGGGCAACCCUGAUCCAGCGACGCCGCGUGGGUGAUGAAGGCCUUCGGGUUGUAAAGCUCUUUCGCCCGCGACGAUGCUGACGGUAGCGGGAGACGAAGCACCGGCUAACUCCGUGCCAGCAGCCGCGGUAAUACGGAGGGGGCUAGCGUUGUUCGGAAUUACUGGGCGUAAAGGGCGCGCAGGCGGCUGCUCAAGUCAGGCGUGAAAGGCCUGGGCUCAACCCGGGAAUUGCGCUUGAGACUGGGCUGGCUUGAGUGCGGGAGAGGAUGGUGGAAUUCCCAGUGUAGAGGCGAAAUUCGUAGAUAUUGGGAAGAACACCGGUGGCGAAGGCGGCCAUCUGGACCGCAACUGACGCUGAGGCGCGAAAGCGUGGGGAGCAAA